AUUGAACGCUGGCGGCAGGCCUAACACAUGCAAGUCGAGCGUGAAAGUCCUUCGGGAUGAGUAAAGCGGCGGACGGGUGAGUAACGCGUAGGAAUCUACCUGAUAGUGGGGGAUAACGUUCCGAAAGGGGCGCUAAUACCGCAUACGUUCUGAGGAAGAAAGCGGGGGCUCGCAAGACAUCGCGCUAUCAGAUGAGCCUGCGUCCGAUUAGCUAGUUGGUUGGGUAAAGGCCUACCAAGGCGACGAUCGGUACCGGGUCUGAGAGGAUGAUCAGUCACACUGGAACUGAGACACGGCCCAGACUCCUACGGGAGGCAGCAGUGGGGAAUAUUGGACAAUGGGCGCAAGCCUGAUCCAGCCAUGCCGCGUGUGUGGAGAAGGCCUUCGGGUUGUAAAGCACUUUAAGCGGGGAGGAAGGCCUGAUGGCUAAUAUCCAUCAGGAUGGACGUUACCCGCAGAAUAAGCACCGGCAAACUUCGUGCCAGCCGCCGCGGUAA
rnacentral:rRNA from 1 species